rnacentral:ncRNA from 1 species
CGGAUAGAGGCGCGGUACUCAUGCGUAUCAAAAAGCAUUCGGCCAGGCAGCCGGCUUUUUGAGAGAGGGUGUACCGCCGAAGGGAGUCGGACCUGCCUGGGCCGUCCCCCUGGGCCGCGGGAGAAUAUCUUGCGGACUGUCACAAGCACGUGGAGCGCUAUCC